rnacentral:rRNA from 1 species
UACGGAAGGGGCAAGCGUUGUUCGGAAUCAUUGGGCGUAAAGGGCGUAUAGGUGGUUCUGUAUGUCUACCGUGAAAGCGUACGGCUCAACCGUAUUUAGUCGGUAGAAACUGCAGGACUUGAGGCUGGGAGGGGCUGGUGGAAUUCCCCGUGUAGCGGUGAAAUGCGUAGAGAUGGGGGAGAACACUCGUGGCGAAGGCGGCCAGCUAGACCAGUUCUGACACUGAGGCGCGAUAGCGUGGGGAGCAAACAGG